CUCGUAGGCGGUUCAGCAAGUCGGCUGUGAAAUUCCGAGGCUCAACCUCGGAACUGCAGUCGAUACUGCUGUGACUCGAGUCCGGUAGAGGAGAAUGGAAUUCCCGGUGUAGCGGUGAAAUGCGCAGAUAUCGGGAGGAACACCAGUAGCGAAGGCGGUUCUCUGGGCCGGUACUGACGCUGAGGAGCGAAAGCGUGGGGAGCAAACA
rnacentral:rRNA from 1 species